UGGGGAAUAUUGCACAAUGGGCGCAAGCCUGAUGCAGCCAUGCCGCGUGUGUGAAGAAGGCCUUCGGGUUGUAAAGCACUUUCAGCGAGGAGGAAGGUGGUGAGCUUAAUACGCUCAUCAAUUGACGUUACUCGCAGAAGAAGCACCGGCUAACUCCGUGCCAGCAGCCGCGGUAAUACGAAGGGUGCAAGCGUUAAUCGGAAUUACUGGGCGUAAAGCGCACGCAGGCGGUUUGUUAAGUCAGAUGUGAAAUCCCCGGGCUCAACCUGGGAACUGCAUUUGAAACUGGCAAGCUAGAGUCUCGUAGAGGGGGGUAGAAUUCCAGGUGUAGCGGUGAAAUGCGUAGAGAUCUGGAGGAAUACCGGUGGCGAAGGCGGCCCCCUGGACGAAGACUGACGCUCAGGUGCGAAAAGCGUGGGGAGCAAAACAGGAUUAGAUACCCCUGGUAGUCCACGCUGUAAAACGAUGUCGAUUUUGGAGGUUGUGCCCUUGAGGCGUGGCUUCCGGAGCUAACGCGUUAAAUCGACCGCCUGGGGAGUACGGCCGCAA
rnacentral:rRNA from 1 species